rnacentral:rRNA from 1 species
UACGAAGGGGGCUAGCGUUGCUCGGAAUGACUGGGCGUAAAGGGCGCGUAGGCGGAUGGCACAGUCAGAUGUGAAAUUCCCGGGCUUAACCUGGGGGGCUGCAUUUGAUACGUGUGAUCUAGAGUGAGGAAGAGGGUCGUGGAAUUCCCAGUGUAGAGGUGAAAUUCGUAGAUAUUCGCAAGAACACCAGUGGCGAAGGCGGCUCACUGGCCCGAUACUGACGCUGAGGCACGAAAGCGUGGGGAGCAAACAGG